rnacentral:rRNA from 1 species
GAACGGGGUCCAACCGGUGGCAACACCGGUGAAGACCUAGUGGCGAACGGGUGAGUAACACGUGAGCAACCUGCCCCGAAGACUGGGAUAACACCGGGAAACCGGUGCUAAUACCGGAUACCCCUACCAGGUCGCAUGGCCUGGUAAGGAAAUGGAUUCCGCUUCGGGAGGGGCUCGCGGCCUAUCAGCUAGUUGGUGGGGUAACGGCCUACCAAGGCGCCGACGGGUAGCUGGUCUGAGAGGACGAUCAGCCACACUGGGACUGAGACACGGCCCAGACUCCUACGGGAGGCAGCAGUGGGGAAUCUUGCGCAAUGGGCGAAAGCCUGACGCAGCAACGCCGCGUGAGGGACGAAGGCCUUAUGGGUUGUAAACCUCUUUCAGCAGGGACGAUAAUGACGGUAUCUGCAGAAGAAGCCCCGGCCAACUACGUGCCAGCAGCCGCGGUCAU